rnacentral:tRNA from 4 species
UCACCCGUCUACUACGGGGGAGAUAUAAGUAUUUGUAUCGCAUAGUACGUAGGUUCAAAAUCCUACGCGAGGCGU